UUUGUCCCAGGCUGCUUUCUUGGAACAGGUCUUUCAAGGUCCACUAGUGGCACAUUCCUGCGAACCUGGGAUCACUGCUGGUCUGGGAGUGCCUGCCGUCCCUUCUGGCAACAAAUGAGUUCUCAAGUUCUUAUACACCUCUGAGUCAAGCCUCAGGGCACUGUCGAGGUGCCAAGAACACCGAGUCUCCACAGCGGGGAAAUUGCAGCCAUUAACAAAACAAGAUUAACUAGGAGGACAGGUGAGGUAACCUGUGCCUUUGUGCCAACCUGUCAACCCAGGCUGAUGCUCUUGUAUUAAAACGCCCUGCCUAGCAAUAGCUCCGAUGCCCUGUUAAACUGGUGAGAGCUGCUUGCUUGCUUAAAUAUUUUUCAGCCUCGAACAGGAAGUCUCCAGUGACUCAAUUCAGAAGGAACACUGAGAAUUAAAGAAAUGAAACCUGGACACAAAAUUUGUAGGUAUUUUUCGAAAGGUCAAGAAAAACACAAGACCUGUUUUCAGCAGAACUAUAUAAGAAUUAACUGAAGAGAUGGUUACAUUUUAGUUAAUUUGCAUGAAGCAAAUGAGAGAGGGGUGCUAGAGAGAAAUUGUGACUUCAGGGUGUGGUCCUGUAUCUGGACAUCUACAUUAUAAAUUUGUUCACUUAACAAAUUUUUACUGGGAACCUUCCCUGUGCCAGGAUUGUGCUAGAGACAUGGAUUUUUCCCAAGCCACCAACUGCACAAAGCCUCCCACAAGAGCUGCAAGAACCCAGUCAUUUUCUAACUGCUUUCCUGUGAUUUCCAAUGAAGUGUCAGCACUUGGGGCUACUCUGACGCUUCACGCCCAACCUGAAGUUCCAGAAUAUAAUGCUUCACAGCUGGUGAUGAUCAGGAACUAGAAGGAACAACUAAAGGUUUAGCUACUUUUACAAGCAGUGAAGACUAUGAAGCAUGAAGCAAAACAGCAAACCGGUGGCUGGUCCCAGGAAAGCCACUUAAAGUAAAGUGUACCCAGUUUGAGAGGUGGUUAAUCUCCAAUUGCUGCAAAAUUUGUUCCCAUGCUGCCUGUCCCUGAUCUGAAAGCUCAUGCAAGGUACAGCUGCUCCAUGUUACCAGUGGGAGAGCUCAAAGCAAAAUAAGAUAGUUCUACACAAAACUUGUCAGUGUUGUGAGGAAAACCACUUUGCAACUGUCAAGAAGUGUUAUAAUUACACCUAUUUUUCUGCAACUAGAACUUGUCAGCAUAAUAGCCAGGUCCUUCGCCUCUGGCAUUCGGAAAGAAAACAACUGGAUGCAAAGCUAGUAAGAUUGUCCACUGGCUUGACAAGCAUGUCUCCCUCCCCCACUGCAGAGCUUGGGAACAUGAAGCUGCUCCUCCAGGCCUUUUUCUUUGAAGAUGGAGGAGGAAACGAGCACAGGCAAAUCUGGAACCUUGACCGCAAUCAUACAGAGCCUCAGUGGCAGGCAAGACUGGGCCACCUAGGCAGUUUCCAAAGCCUUCAACGAAUCACAGAUCCUGUUUUUUCCCCCAUUGGCUAAAAGUAUAAUAAGUGCAGGUUACAGCCUGACCACCAUCUGAGAUAAUCCUGUAAUGGUUAGUAAGGGAAAGGAGAGAAAGUCCAGAUGCUGCCCUUUUUUCUCCUGCUUAGAGUGAGUUGCAUGCUAACUUGAAAGCAGUUUUAAAGGUAGACUGGAAAGUGCUUUCUCUUUAGGAGGCAACCCAUUUAAGAAAAUCAGUAGGACACAGGCAACACGGCUACAAUGGGACAUGGUUGAAGAAGGGGGAGGGGCACAGCACAUGGGUAGUUAUUAUUAUUCUACCUACCUGAUAGGGAAGACUCCAAAAGCAACAGCCACACACAAGUCUAUUGUCUUAAGAGCAUAUUGAUUUUUUUUUAUUCAUUUAAUUCUCAACAAAUAUUUACUGAAAAUUGGCAGUAUACUAAGCUUUGGGAUACGACAAAACAAAUUGAAACCCCUGGUCUUUUAAACUUCUCAUUUCAAGACAGAGGCAGAUAGGGGAUGGAGACAGAGAGAUAAUAUACAAAUAAAUAAACAAACAAAGUAUCAUUUCAAACACUAUCAAGCAUUACUAUCAUGAUAAACCAUGGCAAUUUAACAGCAAGUGACUGGAGGUGGGGGGUUAGUUUAGGCCUGUGCUGUCACUAGUCACAUGUGGCUCUUGAGCAAUUUAAGUGUGGCUAGUCCAAAUUUAGAUGUCCUGUAAGAGAUGUGUUCAAUUUUCAAAGGUUAGUAUGAGAAAAAGAAUGCAAAAUGUUUCAUGAAUAUCUUUAUACUGAUUGCCUAUUGAAAUGACAAUAUUUCAGAUAUAAUAGGUUAAAUAGAUAUAUUAUUAAAAUUAAUUUCACCUCUUGAAAAAAUUUUAAUGUGGCUACUAAAGAAUUUACAAUCGCAUAUAUGACCCACAUUUGUCUCUCCUAAUAUGUCUACCCAGCACUGUUUAGACAGAGUGGGUAAGUAAGGCUGACCGAGGAGGUGAUAAUACACUUAGGACAGGGCUGGCCAUGUGAAGGUCUGGGGGCAAAGUGGUUCAGGCGAGGGGACAAUAAUUGCAGAGAGCCUGAGGUGGGACCCAGCUUGGUGAGUUGGAAAAGACAGAAAGCCAGUGUGCCUGAAGAGAAGGCCAGGAGAGGGAGUGGUAGAGAGAGCUAGGCCCCUGAGAAAGAUUCUUGCUCAUGGAGGGCCUUGUAGCCUAGAGGAAGAAGUUAGGAUUUUAUAUAAAUACAAAUUUUCUAUAAAUUAUUGUAGCAGACUUGUUUCUGUGCAAUUUUCCAGGCACUGUUCCAAAAUAUUCAGUAUAGAACCCUGGCUAAAAAAAAAAUGUAAAGAAUCCUACUCAGCUCAGAAUAUCUUCAUGCUAAUGGAGGCUUAUGAGAUAUGCAUUUAUUUUCAUAUAAUAGUUAUAAUGUUUUCAUAUGGGUGCUUUUUUAUAGGAAGAUGAACACAGGUGGACAGAAUGUACUCAAAUAAAUUGAAUGAAUAUCUGUCUCAUCUUCCUCUACUUUACUCUUCUCAAGCUCAAACUCUGCGUGUAUGUGUAAUAAAGGGAAGGCAAACAAACCCAAGUUCACCCAGAAAGUACGGAGUGCAGGUUGAGAAAUAUAUACUGAAGUUUUCCCUUCUUUACACACCAGUGUGUGUCCACUAUAUAUGUUUUUCUCCUGGGCGACUCCCAGGAAGAGGAAAGUAAACUGAAUAUGUUUUUCCUUCCUACCCUGGGGGAGUGCUUAUAAAAAAAAAAAAAAAACAGAAGAAGUGAAUCAUCAAAUGGCCAAAUGUUUCUGAUAUAUUUUAGAGUUUAUAUAAUAAAUGUAUUGCCAUAAGAGCAAAAUUUUGAGUUUC